CAGUCGCCACGGUAAUACGGAGGGCGCGAGCGUUACCCGGAUUUACUGGGCGUAAAGGGCGUGUAGGCGGCCUGGGGCGUCCCAUGUGAAAGGCCACGGCUCAACCGUGGAGGAGCGUGGGAUACGCUCAGGCUAGAGGGUGGGAGAGGGUGGUGGAAUUCCCGGAGUAGCGGUGAAAUGCGCAGAUACCGGGAGGAACGCCGAUGGCGAAGGCAGCCACCUGGUCCACUUCUGACGCUGAGGCGCGAAAGCGUGGGGAGCAAACCGGAUUAGAUACCCGGGUAGUCCCUGUCUCUUAUAA
rnacentral:rRNA from 1 species